UACGGAGGGUGCGAGCGUUGUCCGGAAUCACUGGGCGUAAAGGGCGCGUAGGCGGCGCGGGUAGUCAUCGGUGAAAGUUCAGGGCUCAACUCUGAAUCGGCCGGUGAUACUCCCGUGCUCGAGCACUGUAGAGGCAGGUGGAAUUCCGGGUGUAGCGGUGGAGUGCGUAGAGAUCCGGAAGAACACCGGUGGCGAAGGCGGCCUGCUGGGCAGUGAGCUGACGCUGAUGCGCGACAGCGUGGGGAGCAAACAGG
rnacentral:rRNA from 1 species